GACGAACGCUGGCGGCGUGCCUAAUACAUGCAAGUAGAACGCUGAAGGAGGAGCUUGCUUCUCUGGAUGAGUUGCGAACGGGUGAGUAACGCGUAGGUAACCUGCCUGGUAGCGGGGGAUAACUAUUGGAAACGAUAGCUAAUACCGCAUAAGAGUAGAUGUCGCAUGACAUUUGCUUAAAAGGUGCGAUUGCAUCACUACCAGAUGGACCUGCGUUGUAUUAGCUAGUUGGUGAGGUAACGGCUCACCAAGGCAACGAUACAUAGCCGACCUGAGAGGGUGAUCGGCCACACUGGGACUGAGACACGGCCCAGACUCCUACGGGAGGCAGCAGUAGGGAAUCUUCGGCAAUGGACGGAAGUCUGACCGAGCAACGCCGCGUGAGUGAAGAAGGUUUUCGGAUCGUAAAGCUCUGUUGUAAGAGAAGAACGAGUGUGAGAGUGGAAAGUUCACACUGUGACGGUAUCUUACCAGAAAGGGACGGCUAACUACGUG
rnacentral:rRNA from 1 species